rnacentral:lncRNA from 1 species
GCUAAUUCCAGGUGGCAGGAAACAAGUACAGCAUCCUUGUUUUGGACCAAUAUAGAGGACUAGGAAUCUCAAAAGAUGGUUUGAAUCAGAUGCAGUGUUUUGGGGUACAUCUCUGAAAGGUUCCUAGCCUGAAAAAAAAAUGCACCCCGCUCCUACGCUGCAUACUUGAGAGUGUUAAGAUGCCACUUGACACACAGCUCCUGGCA